ACGAGGUGCUUUUGUAGCAAUACGAAAGUAUCCUAGUGGCGAACGGGUGAGUAACGCGUGGGUGACCUGCCCCAAAGUGUGGGAUAACAGUCCGAAAGGAUUGCUAAUACCUCAUGUGGUCUUCGGGUUUAGAAACCGAUGACUAAAGCAGCAAUGCGCUUUGGGAGGGACCUGCGUCCCAUCAGCUAGUUGGUGAGGUAAUGGCUCACCAAGGCUACGACGGGUAGGGGACCUGAGAGGGUGGCCCCCCACAAUGGAACUGAAACACGGUCCAUACACCUACGGGUGGCAGCAGUAGGGAAUAUUGCACAAUGGGCGAAAGCCUGAUGCAGCAACGCCGCGUGUGCGAUGAAGGCCUUCGGGUCGUAAAGCACUUUUAUGAGAGAUGAGUAAGGACAGUAUCUCAGGAAUAAGUCUCGGCUAACUACGUGCCAGCAGCCGCGGUAAAACGUAGGAGGCGAGCGUUAUCCGGAUUCACUGGGCGUAAAGCGCGUGCAGGCGGUUCGGUAAGUUGGGCGUGAAAUCUCCUGGCUUAACUAGGAGAGGUCGUUCAAUACUACCGGACUUGAGAAUGAUAGAGGAAGAUGGAAUUCCCGGUGUAGUGGUGAAAUGCGUAGAUAUCGGGAGGAACACCAGUGGCGAAAGCGAUCUUCUGGAUCAUUUCUGACGCUCAGACGCGAAAGCUAGGGUAGUAAACGGGAUUAGAGACCCCGGUAAUCCUAGCCGUAAACGAUGUAAACUUGGCGUUGGUGGCUUAAACUCCAUCAGUGCCGCAGCAAACGCGAUAAG
rnacentral:rRNA from 1 species